rnacentral:rRNA from 1 species
CCUACGGGAGGCAGCAGUGAGGAAUAUUGGUCAAUGGACGAGAGUCUGAACCAGCCAAGUAGCGUGAAGGAUGACUGCCCUAUGGGUUGUAAACUUCUUUUAUAUGGGAAUAAAACGUUCCACGUGUGGGAUUUUGUAUGUACCAUAUGAAUAAGGAUCGGCUAACUCCGUGCCAGCAGCCGCGGUAAUACGGAGGAUCCGAGCGUUAUCCGGAUUUAUUGGGGUUAAAGGGAGCGUAGGUGGAUUGUUAAGUCAGUUGUGAAAGUUUGCGGCUCAACCGUAAAAUUGCAGUUGAAACUGGCAGUCUUGAGUACAGUAGAGGUGGGCGGAAUGCGUGGUGUAGCGGUGAAAUGCUUAGAUAUCACGAAGAACUCCGAUUGCGAAGGCAGUUCACUGGACUGCAACUGACACUGAGGCUCGAAAGUGUGGGUAUCAAACAGGAUUAGAUACCCGGGUAGUC